rnacentral:misc_RNA from 1 species
GAUGAAGAACGUAGCGAAAUGCGAUAAGUAAUGUGAAUUGCAGAAUUCAGUGAAUCAUCGAAUCUUUGAACGUACAUUGCGCCCCUUGGUAUUCCGAGGGGCAUGCCCGUUCGAGCGUCAUUAUACCCCUCAAGCCUAGCUUGGUGUUGGGGCCUGCUGUUACCGGCAGCCCUUAAAAUCAGUGGCGGUGCCAUCUGGCUCUAAGCGUAGUAAUACUUCUCGCUACAGGGUCCCGGUGGAUGCUUGCCAUCAACCCCUAAUUUUCUAUGGUUGACCUCGGAUCGGGUAGGGAUACCCGCUGAACUUAAGCAUAUCAAUAAGCGGAGGA